AACGAACGCUGGCGGCAUGCCUAACACAUGCAAGUCGAACGAGCCCUUCGGGUCUAGUGGCGCAAGGGUGCGUAACGCGUGGGAACAUGCCCUUAGGCUCGGAAUAACUCCCCGAAAGGGGUGCUAAUACUGGCUAAUGUCUUCGGAACAAGGAUUUAUCGCCUUUGGAUGGGCCCGCGUUGGAUUAGCUAGUUGGUAGGGUAAAGGCCUACCAAGGCGACGAUCGAUAGCUGGUCUGAGAGGAUGAUCAGCCACACUGAGACUGAGACACGGCCCAGACUCCUACGGGAGGCAGCAGUGGGGAAUAUUGGACAAUGGGCGAAAGCCUGAUCCAGCAAUGCCGCGUGAGUGAUGAAGGCCUUAGGGUUGUAAAGCUCUUUUACCCGGGAUGAUAAUGACAGUACCGGAAGAAUAAGCCCCGGCUAACUCCGUG
rnacentral:rRNA from 1 species